ensembl:lncRNA
GAGGUGCGGAGGAGGGGUCACUGCCAGGUCUCGGCCUUCGGGGCCACCUUCCCUCUCCCCCUGCUCCUGCAGAAACCAGAGCUGGGGGGCGACGGUGCAGCCGGGCGCCUGAGUGUUUUUACGUGACUCUGUGUGUGAGAGACUCCAGGUAUCUGAACCUUGAGCCAAAAUACACCAAAGAAGAGAUUCUCCUCACAUCCUCUACCUCCUGGAAGUUACAGAGCAAACACUGUGGAGACUCUGUGCAAGCACUGUGGAGUGCUCCUGUGGUUACUCGAUUAUAGAUGGCCACAGGGACAGCCAGCCUGCAAACUCAGACACCAGCUCCACCCCUGGAUCAUGCCACCCUGAGUGCUAAUAUGUAAUGGAAGCAAUAGCAUCUUAUUCAAAGAGUUGUUUGAAUGACAUAAUAUAGUAAUCGUGUGAGCAAAGUAUAUAUGUUCAUGAAGUCUCAGUUCUCACUAAGGAAGCCCCAGUCUUCUGGCUCCAUGCUGAGCAGAGGAGGCUAAACCUGCCAUUCUCAUCUCCCCGUGUCUCAGAGAUGCCCCUUCUCUUUUGUCACGAGUUCCCAAACUUUAAUGUGCAAAUGCUCUCAGGUAACGCAAUGAGAAAUUCAUUCUCUGGGACUCGUCCCCGGGCAAUGAAAACACACCUGUAACACUCUCACCUGCCCUGAUGUCUCCCUUGGCAGGUGGCCAGUGCUGAGGUCUCCAGGGCACUGUCUGCUGGCCGGAGCUUGGACUCUGCCUCUCCCCUGGAUUCCCUCAUUCAGGAUCAGGAAUAAAGGAAAGGACUUAAUGUGGACAGAGAAACAUGCAGUUUGCUCAUUCAUUCAGCUGCUCUGUGGAUCCUACCCCUGGAGCCAAGAGGCCCUCACCAGGCUCCCCAUCAAGGCUGAGGCCAUGUCCCCACCCAUCUCAUGCACAUACACCUGGUAACACCUUAAGCCAAGGAGCUUAAGCUCUCAUAGCUCUCAGGGAGGAAAGGAGAGACAUCUUCUUUCUCUAUUUUAAGCAGAAAUGCUGGGCUGGCCCUCAGCUUCUGCAGCACCUCCACUGGACUGGGGAAGGUCCUUGCCCACCUCAGGGGCAGGAACUCUAAGAAGUCCUUCCAGAGACUUCCCUGGUGGCACAGUGGAUAAGAAUCCGCCCACCAAUGCAGAGGACACAGGUUCAAUCCCUGGUCCGGGAAGAUUGUACAUGUUGCAGAGCAACUAAACCCAUGCACCACGACUACUGAGCCAGCGCUCUAGAGCCCAUGAGCUUCAACUACUGAGCCUGAGCUUCCUAGAGCCCACGCUCCAAAACAAGAGAAGCUAUCACAACAAGAAGUUCGAGCAUCGCACCUAGAGUAGCCCCAGCUCGCAGCAACUAGAGAAAGCCUGCACACGGUAAUGAAGACCCAGGACAGCCAAUAAAAAUUAAAAAAAAAAAAAAAAAGUCCUUCCAGGUGCCUCCUCACACAGGCCUUCUCCUGGGCAGUCACUCCUGCAGGGCCCGCUCCAGAAUGUCUAUACUUGCAGGGAAUGGAAUGGGCGGGGGCUGGGCCUUGAUCGAGCACCUCAACUGUUUUUCACCUAAACUGCCUGUUAUAUAAAUGCAGUUUUCUGGAGGUGUUUUCUUCCACUUGAGUAAGAUCGAGAAAGCAAUUGUGGAUACGAGAGGAUAUUAUAUUUUUUCUUUUGUUUAGAAAAAACUAUUUUUAAUUGAAGGAUAAUUGCUUUACAGUGUUGUGUUGGUUUCUGCCAUACAUCAACAUGAAUCAGCCAUAGGCCUACAUGUGUCCUCUCCCUCAUGAACCUCCCUCCCACCUCCCACCCCGUCCACCCGUCUAGGUUAUUACAGAGCCCUCGUUUGAGUUCCCUGAGUCAUACAGCAAAUAUGAGAGGAUAUUAUUACUGUUUUACUAUUAUUGUAACUAACACAUUUUGACGAGCCCUUCUUUGUGAUCAUAAAUCCAAAAGGUUCAGUAAACCAUAAUUUCGCACAACUUGUUUGGUGGUCAACUCCUUCCUAAAUGAAUGUGGAGCAAUUUAUAGUCUUUCUGUUCCUGGCUAGGUUUGAAUGCUCCUCUAUUUUGUGUGCUUGAUUAUGGGGUGCUGCCCCAGACCCCGCAGGGUUGUCAGAUACCAUACAGUCUUUAAACCAUAUUAUUUCCCUAAAAUCCCUCAAAUUCUGAAUUUCUGAAUGCACCUGGAUAAUGGUUUGUGAAUCAUAGUUGAGGGACUUAUUAUAAGAAUCAUAGUUGAGGGACUUCCCUGGUGGCUCAGUGGCUAAGGCUCCAUGCUCCCAGUGCUGAGGGGCCUAGGUUCAAUCCCUGUCAGGGAACUAGAUCCCACACGCCACAACUAAAGAUCCUAUGAGCUG